ACGCUAGCUACAGGCUUAACACAUGCAAGUCGAGGGCAGCGGGUUGAAAGCUUGCUUUCAAUGCCGGCGACCGGCGCACGGGUGCGUAACGCGUAUCAAACCUGCCUCAUACUCGGGGAUAGCCUUGCGAAAGUAAGAUUAAUACCCGAUGUUGUUGCUUUCUCGCAUGGGAGAGUAACCAAAGAUUUAUCGGUAUGAGAUGGUGAUGCGUCCGAUUAGGUAGUAGGCGGGGUAACGGCCCACCUAGCCUUCGAUCGGUAGGGGUUCUGAGAGGAAGGUCCCCCACACUGGAACUGAGACACGGUCCAGACUCCUACGGGAGGCAGCAGUGAGGAAUAUUGGUCAAUGGGCGAGAGCCUGAACCAGCCAAGUAGCGUGCAGGAUGACGGCCCUCCGGGUUGUAAACUGCUUUUAGUUGGGAAUAAAAAAAGGGACUUGUCCCUUCUUGUAUGUACCUUCAGAAAAAGGACCGGCUAAUUCCGUGCCAGCAGCCGCGGUAAUACGGAAGGUCCAGGCGUUAUCCGGAUUUAUUGGGUUUAAAGGGAGCGUAGGCGGAUUGUUAAGUCAGCGGUUAAAGGGUGUGGCUCAACCAUGCAUUGCCGUUGAAACUGGCGAUCUUGAGUGCAGACAGGGAUGCCGGAAUUCGUGGUGUAGCGGUGAAAUGCUUAGAUAUCACGAAGAACUCCGAUCGCGAAGGCAGGUGUCCGGGCUGCAACUGACGCUGAGGCUCGAAAGUGUGGGCAUCAAACAGGAUUAGAUACCCUGGUAGUCCACACAGUAAACGAUGUAUACUCGCGGUUUGCGAUAGAUUGUAAGCCGCCAAGCGAAAGCAUUAAGUAUACCACCUGGGGAGUACGCCGGCUACGGUGAAACUCAAAGGAAUUGACGGGGGCCCGCACAAGCGGAGGAAC
rnacentral:rRNA from 1 species